UUGAGAAAAGGAGGACCUCUUCUAUUUAGCCUCAGAACAAAAGUGGAAACACAGAAGGAAACUUCCUCACCUUGCUCCAGCUAAUGUGUUUGAACUUUGACCUAUAAUUGUCAAUGAGUAGGAAGCAGUUCAGUCUUCAUGUCCAUUCAAUCCUUUGCCUUC
rnacentral:sRNA from 1 species